rnacentral:rRNA from 1 species
GAUGAACGCUGGCGGCGCGCCUAACACAUGCAAGUCGAACGGUUAAAGCAUCUUCGGAUGUGCAUAAAGUGGCGAACGGCUGAGUAACACGUGGGCAACCUGCCCCUCGCAUCGGGACAGCCUCGGGAAACCGUGGUUAAUACCGGAUACUCCGCCACCCCCGCAUGGGGGAGGCGGGAAAGCCCAGACGGCGAGGGAUGGGCCGCGGCCUGUUAGCUUGUUGGUGGGGCAGUGGCCCACCAAGGCGAUGAUGGGUAGCCGGGUUGAGAGACCGACCGGCCAGAUUGGGACUGAGACACGGCCCAGACUCCUACGGGAGGCAGCAGUGGGGAAUCUUGCACAAUGGGCGAAAGCCUGAUGCAGCGACGCCGCGUGCGGGACGAAGGCCUUCGGGUCGUAAACCGCUUUCAGCAGGGACGAGGCCGCAAG